rnacentral:rRNA from 1 species
AUUGAACGCUGGCGGCAGGCCUAACACAUGCAAGUCGAGCGGAGCGGCGGACGGGUGAGUAAUGCCUAGGAAUCUGACUGGUAGUGGGGGAUAACGUCCGGAAACGGGCGCUAAUACCGCAAACUCUCAGCUGAGCAUAGGUCGGAUUAGCUAGUGGGUGGGGGAACGGCCCACCAAGGCGACGAUCCGUAACUGGUCUGAGAGGAGGAGCAGCCACACUGGAACUGAGACACGGUCCAGACUCCUACGGGAGGCAGCAGUGGGGAAUAUUGGACAAUGGGCGAAAGCCUGAUCCAGCCAUGCCGCGUGUGUGAAGAAGGUCUUCGGAUUGUAAAGCACUUUAAGUUGGGAGGCGUUACCAACAGAAUAAGCACCGGCUAACUUCGUGCCAGCAGCCGCGGUAAUUC